GACGAACGCUGGCGGCGUGCCUAAUACAUGCAAGUCGAACGCAGUGGGGACGGGUGGGUAACCCUUGGGUAACCUCCGCGUCAGAGGGGAUAACACUUGGAAACAGGUGCUAAACCGAUACUCAUGGAUGGCCCCGCGGUGCAUUAGCUAGUUGGUGAGCUAACGGCGCACCAAGGCAACGAUGCAUAGCCGACCGGGGAGGGUGAUCGGCCACACUGGGACUGAGACACGGCCCAGACUCCUACGGGAGGCAGCAGGAGGGAAUCUUCGGCAAUGGACGAAAGCCUGACCGAGCAACGCCGCGUGAGUGAAGAAGGUUUUCGGAUCGUAAAACUCUGUUGUUAGAGAAGCGGUAUCUAACCAGAAAGCCACGGCUAACUACGUGCCAGCAGCCGCGGUAAUUC
rnacentral:rRNA from 1 species